ensembl:misc_RNA Metazoa_SRP Metazoan signal recognition particle RNA
GCCGGGUGUGGUGGCGGGCACCUGUAAUCCCAGCUACUCAGGAGGCUGAGGCAGGAGAAUCACUUGAACCUGGGAGGCAGAGGCUGCAGUGAGCCGGGAUCACGCCACUGCAUUCCAGCCUGGGUGACAGAGUGAGACUCUGUCUCAA